rnacentral:rRNA from 1 species
CCUGGCUUAGGGUGAACGCUAGCUACAGGCUUAACACAUGCAAGUCGAGGGGCAGCAUGGUCUUAGCUUGCUAAGGCUGAUGGCGACCGGCGCACGGGUGAGUAACGCGUAUCCAACCUACCCCAUAGUAGGGGAGUAGCCCGUAGAAAUGCGGAUUAAUACCCUAUGUUUUUCCGAGGAGGACAUCUGACUUGGAACAAAGAUUCAUCGCUAUGGGAUGGGGAUGCGUCCGAUUAGCUUGUUGGCGGGGUGACGGCCCACCAAGGCGACGAUCGGUAGGGGUUCUGAGAGGAAGGUCCCCCACACUGGUACUGAGACACGGACCAGACUCCUACGGGAGGCAGCAGUGAGGAAUAUUGGUCAAUGGGCGAGAGCCUGAACCAGCCAAGUAGCGUGCAGGAAGACGGCCCUACGGGUUGUAAACUGCUUUUUAUCAGGGGAUAAAGUGUGGGACGUGUCCCUCAUUGCAGGUACCUGAUGAAUAAGGACCGGCUAAUUCCGUGCCAGCCGCAGC